AGGGAGCGGCCGCGGGGACGGCCUUGCGCAUGCGCUUAGCCGCAGCGGGCGGGACGAGGCCUGGAAUGUUGACGCCCGUGCACUUGCUGGGAGGGGCACUGACGUAACCUUAUAAAUGAGUGUUUUCUCCUCAAGUGUAGUGUUUACAAGGAGAUAUAGGAGCUUAUAGACGGCACUGGCUGAUGACAACUGAUCCUGUUUCUCCACUGUGUCGCCGCCCCGGAAGAGUAACUGACUGCAGAGGACUGGACUGAAGCACUGUCUGCCUACCUGGUGAGCUCCAUGGCUGCUGUCAUUACCUCAUCUCUUGCUGGUGAUGAAACCACUCAGUGGCCCAACCCAUUACUCUCUUUUCUCAUGGUUGGAGAGGGGCCCUGAAUAUUGAGAGCAGCUGUUGACCCGAAGCCAAUUGUUCCUUGUUCCAUGUGGAUAUUUCCACCUGUGCCCACCCUCUGAUAACUAUAAAAAGGUGGGACGAGAAGUGAUUGGGGUCGCAGAGUCUCCCCUUGCUUGGAAGGGUGUCGGCGGCCUUCAGCGGCCUAAGCUUAAGCGUCCUAAUAAAGGCUCUUGCUAUUGCAUGUGA